rnacentral:rRNA from 1 species
UGGGGGAUAUUGCACAAUGGGCGAAAGCCUGAUGCAGCGACGCCGCGUGGGGGAUGAAGGCUUUCGGGUUGUAAACCUCUUUCGCUAUCGAACAAGGCCCGCUUAGGGUGGGUUGAGGGUAGGUGGAGAAGAAGCGCCGGCUAACUACGUGCCAGCAGCCGCGGUAAUACGUAGGGCGCGAGCGUUGUCCGGAAUUAUUGGGCGUAAAGGGCUUGUAGGCGGCUUGUUGCGCCUGCUGUGAAAACGCGGGGCUUAACUUCGCGCGUGCAGUGGGUACGGGCAGGCUUGAGUGUGGUAGGGGUGACUGGAAUUCCAGGUGUAGCGGUGGAAUGCGCAGAUAUCUGGAGGAACGCCGAUGGCGAAGGCAGGUAACUGGGCCAUUACUGACGCUGAGGAGCGAAAGCAUGGGUAGCGAACAGG